GGAUCCAGACUUUGAUCCUGGCUCAGGAUGAACGCUAGCUACAGGCCUAACACAUGCAAGUCGAGGGGAAACGGCAGCUUAGCUUGCUAAGCUGGACGUCGACCGGCGCACGGGUGAGUAACGCGUAUCCAACCUGCCCCACGGUGAGGGAUAACCCGCGGAAACGCGGCCUAAUACCUCAUGGUCUCCGAGUUUGCCAUCAACCUUGGAGUAAAGAUUCAUUGCCGUGGGAUGGGGAUGCGUCUGAUUAGCUUGUUGGCGGGGCAACGGCCCACCAAGGCAACGAUCAGUAGGGGUUCUGAGAGGAAAGCCCCCCACAUUGGAACUGAGACACGGUCCAAACUCCUACGGGAGGCAGCAGUGAGGAAUAUUGGUCAAUGGGCGAGAGCCUGAACCAGCCAAGUAGCGUGCAGGAAGACGGCCCUAUGGGUUGUAAACUGCUUUUAUGCGGGGAUAAAGCGGGCGACGUGUCGCCCAUUGCAGGUACCGCAUGAAUAAGGACCGGCUAAUUCCGUGCCAGCAGCCGCGGUAAUACGGAAGGUCCGGGCGUUAUCCGGAUUUAUUGGGUUUAAAGGGAGCGCAGGCCGGGUAUUAAGCGUGUUGUGAAAUGUAGGCGCCCAACGUCUGCACCGCAGCGCGAACUGGUGCCCUUGAGUACGCACGACGUUGGCGGAAUUCGCCGUGUAGCGGUGAAAUGCUUAGAUAUGGCGAAGAACUCCGAUUGCGAAGGCAGCUGACGGGAGCGCUACUGACGCUCAUGCUCGAAAGCGCGGGUAUCGAACAGGAUUAGAUACCCUGGUAGUCCGCGCGGUAAACAAUGGAUGCCCGCUAUUUGCGCAUUAGCGCAAGUGGCCAAGUGAAAACGUUAAGCAUCCCACCUGGGGAGUACGCCGGCAACGGUGCAACUCAAAGGAAUUGACGG
rnacentral:rRNA from 1 species